rnacentral:rRNA from 1 species
UACAGAGGGUGCGAGCGUUAAUCGGAAUUACUGGGCGUAAAGCGUGCGUAGACGGUUAUUUAAGUCGGAUGUGAAAGCCCCGGGCUCAACCUGGGAAUUGCAUUCGAGACUGAAUAGCUAGGGUACGGUAGAGGGAAGUGGAAUUUCCGGUGUAGCGGUGAAAUGCGUAGAUAUCGGAAGGAACAUCAGUGGCGAAAGCGA